GAGAAGCCCCGCCCCUCUAUUAUUUUUGCAAAGGCGUGUGAGGUCGCGCGUUCCUCUUCCCCCCCCUCGGGUUUUGUGGUCUGAGCCCUUCCGCUUGCCGUAGUCAAGUGGGGUCUGGGUGUUGCCGGCGUGCCCGCUCGAGAGCGAGACCUUUGAAAAGUCCAUGGUUGCCGGGCGCCGCGAUGGCUCCGGACCCCUGGUUGUCGAUGUAUGAUUCUACUUGCCGUACUGCCCAGGAGGUUGCUGAAAAGAUUCAAGAACGCAACAGAUAUCAGAGGAACGGUGAAAGUACAACUAAGCUCACUGUUGCCAUCCGGUCACUAUUACAGAAUCUCAAAGAAAAGACUGAUCGUCUCAAGGACCUGUUGUUUCACUCUGUGUCUACACGCCAGAUAACCCAACUUGAAGGAGACAGAAGGCAGAACUUGGUGGAUGAGCUUCUCACACGUCAUAGACAACUUCAGGCAUCUUUCAAAAAUGAAGGCACAGAACCAGAUGUAAUAAGGUCUAGCCUAAUGGCAGGAGGGGUCAGACAAGGUGUAACAAACCCAUGGCUUGUAGAAGAGCCUGAGGAAACAAGAGGACUCGGCUUUCAUGAGAUCCAGCAACAGCAAAAGAGGAUUAUAGAAGAGCAAGAUUCUGGCCUCGAUGCCCUCUCUUCAAUCUUAUCCCGGCAGAAGCAGAUGGGACAGGAAAUUGGGAAUGAGUUAGAGGAACAGAAUGAAAUCAUUGAUGAUUUAGCCAAUUUGGUUGAAAACACUGACGACAAACUGCGGAACCAAACCAGGCGUGUGAUGAUGGUGGAGAAAAAGUCAACGUCUUGUGGGAUGAUAGUGGUGAUCGUAUUGCUGCUGAUUGCAAUUGUCGUUGUUGCUGUGUGGCCUACGAAAUAACAGAACAGAAUACCAUUCUGCUGCAAAGUGUCAACUGCAAGCUAAAAGCAAGGACAGCUCUUUCUCACUGUCGGCACAUUCCACAGACUGAGUUGCAUUCAUCCCACUCUGAGUGCACUGGUAGAUCCACAGCAGGGGACAGAUUUUAUUUUCCAAAAUCGCUAUCCAGGAAGACUUCAUGUUUUGAAGAAGGUUACAUAGAAUGGAAUGUAUCACCUCAUGACCAUCCAGACAUAAAUGCAGUUGAUUCCAGAGAAGUGCUAUCUGACUAGCUGACCCUGCUUUCAAGAGUGCAAGAGCUUGGGAUACUUCUUCAGAGGACCUAAACCUUUUACAUUACAUACGUAGACUUGACAGCCUGCUACUGCGUGAUACUUCUGGAAAAGUUCAAGGCACCAAUUUGUGUUGCUUCAGAUUCUUUCUUGUAUUUGGUGGUGGCAUUGCUUGUAUUGGGACCCAGUACCAUUUCCAUGGAUUUCUAUUGUGCACUGCACUAAAUUUCUUUAUGGAAACUACCAUUUGCUUCAUAGAUCAUCUUUGCCAGUACUGUACUGUGAUCUGACUAUCCUGCCCCAUUCUUAACCUCUUAAGCAUCUUGCCUAGUUCUAGCUUCAUAAAGACUUACUGAUCUCCUUCCAUGUGCAAGAUGGUGUAAUUAUUGUAGGCUUCCAAAUAAAAAUGCCAGCCCUAAAUUGAUUCUGGCCAUCUAGUACCUCCAAAGCACAUUUGAUCAUGCUGCAAGAUCUAUAGCUCUACCAAUAAAUAGUCCAAAAUAUGUAAAUGUUGUGUUGGGGUAUUUUUGUUAUACAGGAGGAAACGUUUGGGGAAAUAGUCCUCCAAACAUGUAACUUUAAGCUUUUCUGCUUAGCUGAUUUGAAUCAAAAGCCGCCCAUGCAAUACAUAAUUGUUAAAAUGUAGGAGUGCAAAAUAUGUCCUUAAAUCUGUCAAGAUAGAUGCUGUUUUGUGAAGAAAAAAGGUUUCUCACUUAUAUGGAAUGUAUGAGGACUGUUUUUUAAAAAAAUCUAAUCUAAUAUUGUAGCUUGAAUAAAUGUACAAUUUUCAAGUUCUAGACUAUUUUAUAUAUUGUAGUGCCCUGUCAUCAGUCUUCUUAGUUUCCUUUGUAUUUUGUCUUGCAUUUGCUGUCAGGCAUUGUCAUCACUUUUGAGUUUUCCAGAUCCCCAGUAUCCAUUAUGCAAGGUGAGGCCAUUUCACAUCUUUCUUCAAGGGGAUUGCACGCUAUGAGAGUAUCUGUUCUGUAAACAUUGGCUUUCAGGAUUAAAUAGUGGUUUUGACUACUUAUUUCAAACAUAGAGUUCCCUUGGAAUGCUCGCACAGGACUCCGCUGCUGUGUAUAUUCAGGAUGCUGCAGUUGAGUGGGGAAAGGUACUGCCAAAGCAAGCAUCUUUCCACCAGGAACUGCAGUGAGAAUACUUUUUUAUGUUAUAUAUUGUAUUAGAAAUCUAGAGCAAAGAUGUUUGUGUUGAGAAUAGUGCACUAAUAUGGCUGAGCAUAAUUUCCAUGUUUUUUUCCCCUAUUUGUGUUGAGAUUUCCUCCAACAAAAGAAAACGUUUUGUUAGAUUCUUUGUUAGACUCUUAAGUACAUAACAUGAAAAUGGAACUCAAAUCUUUUGGACUUUGGGAAUAAAGAUUCCCAAGAAUUCUGUGUCUGUCAAACUGACAGAACUGUAGGCAAAGUAUUUUAUAUACCCUUUGUUUAAGCCAUGUUCCCCCAGGCCACAUAGUACAAAACAGCACCCAACACAAUUGUUUAUGACUAGCCAAUCUUUGCUGUGAUUUGAUAGAAAGUAACAGUGGCUGGCCUACAUUUUUGGGGUCCUGAGGCUUGAACUUGCAACCAGCAGUGAAGGCUGGGUAACCACUGUUUAUCUUCUUCAGUGGGGGUUAUUCCAUGACAGUUUUUUAAAAAAACUGGAAUCCUCCAGGAUUAGGAGCCCUGAACCUUGUGCACCUUGUUAGUUUCACAGCAGAUCCGCCCCUGGAAAGUACAGUAGUAUCCUGUAUACACAUAAUCAGAUACAAACCCUGGAUAAUUUUGACUUUUUUUGCAGAUGACCUUUGCAAAGUCUUGACAAGUCAUGAUGAGAAUUGCUUCAUCAGCACCAUGCUAAAAUAUGAACUGUAAGGAAGCAAAAAUACCGUAGGUGCUUCUUGGUAAAAUGUUGAUGAGAUAUGAGUCUUCUGUUACAUUUUCCUCACUUAACUGCUUUUGGACAAUUCACUUUUAUGAUAAUUCAUAGAAAGUGAAACUGUUAUCUGCUGCCAAAGUAGCUGGCUUCCUGUCUUUGGGGCAAACCAAAAUGUUUCCAUCACUUUC